AAAAUGCAGACACAUGAAAUACCAUAAAUCAUGAAAGCAAGAUUUUUACAUGCAUGUUUCACACAGCAGGUGCUUGGGCAGAUUCAUUACCCAGAUUGUUCUGGUAAAGAAUCUCAAAAGAAUGCAGUGGACUGAUGAGGAGAGAGACAAGGAUGGGGAAAAAAUCUUCUUACUUACAGAAAAAAAAAAUUAAAUUGUGCUUAGGGGAAUGGUACAGAACUGAGUAGAAUGAAACCACACAGACAUUGAGAAAUGUAGACUCCUCCUGUGGAGUUUGCAGUCCUUACAGUACUGAAAGCUUGUUUCACAUGCCUGGGGUGCACCAGGAGGUGGUCCCUGCACUCACAGAUUGGUGUGACCAUUUGGAAGGCUUUUUAAGAAGAGCAGGUGAAAACUGGGAGCUGAGCAAAAAGACAGACGUGCAAAUAGCAGAACCCUUAAAACGGGCCUUGGUCAGAGCUAAAGUGUGCAGAUGCCACAGAGGAUAACCAGCACAGCCUGCUUCUGUACCUGAGGCAGUUUGUUCUUCAGGGGUCUCUACAAGGUGAGUUCUGGUUUGGUGUGUUCACAAAUACUCACUGCCCGCAGAGCUGAACAUCAGAGACUAUUUUCAUGCUUCUGUGCUACCAGCAUUACUUAACUAGGCAAGUUAGAGGUGUGAGGUUUGAUCUUGUGAGAAUGGCUCUCAAAUGAGAGGGAAAAUAAAACAGAGA
rnacentral:lncRNA from 1 species